rnacentral:tRNA from 1 species
GGGCCCGUAGCCUAGAAUGGAUAGGGCGGCAGCCUCCUAAGCUGCAGAUCGCGGGUUCAAAUCCCGCCGGGCCCGCCA